GACUUGUGUCAAGUAGCUAUGGGUGCAGUGAAUAUUUGAUAACACAUCCCCAACAAGUCAUGAGUAAAGCGUGUGCUUAACAUGCCUUUUCAGAACUGUUCCAUUUUAAUUUUCCUUGAGAUCACAGCCAGCAUUAUAUUUAACCACAGCCACUAGAGACCUCCCUAUUUGAAUCAAGAACAAAGCAAGGAUGCCUGUGAUCUCCAUUAUGGCAUGACUGUUCCGGAAGUGCACCCUGCAGGACACGAAACAGAAAGGAGAGACAAAAAUACCAAACCAACGAUUUGUUCCUGUUGUUUGCAGGCGGCUGUCAUUUAUUAACUGAAUGCAUACUGUCUCCUAGAAUGCUGAACUCCUUGUCCCACAGAGCUGCUGGGGUUAGAGAUGGAGACAGACCAGGUCUGGGAAGACAGACCAGGAAGGCUGAGAGAAGAUGAGGAGAAAGAGCUCACUCUGGAUUCUGGUUGAAGAUUCUCCAGCUGAGAAGCAAAAAUCCAGCAGAACUCAGGACUACUCAAGGCCCUUCUCUCCUGGACACACCCCGCAGGUCUCAGAAUCCUACCUAGAGCCCUGUUUACAGGACGGCUCUUCUCAGCAGACAUCCCAUGGCUCCAGCAUCUCCGGCAUCUUCAAGUCUUCAAGGCAAUCCAGGCUUCACUCUCAAAGCUUCACACCAUGGCCUCUCCAGGAAUCCAUGAAGGGACUUUCCUGCUACACUCAUGGCUUCCCUCAACUCCUCCAUCCUUCUGGAAUCUAACUCCAGAGCCACGUGGCCAAAGCUGCCGAGUUCUACCUGCUUGGGAUAGAAACUGGCCCUGUCCCAGAGUUAUGUUUGCAUAAGCUUUCCCUUGUUGUUGCUCCUUAGGGGCAGAUGACUCCCCGGGCCUGCUAUCUUCACAGGUCGUAGGAGUAGCAGAGUGGGCAUCACCGCAGGCACUGAUCCCUUCUUUUCAUUUUUCCUUGUCUCUUUCCGCGCAAACCAGCACUUCACCACUCCACCGUUAGAUCUCACGGUGCUCUUUUGUAUUUCUUUCUUGCUUCCCUUGCUUUUUAAACAGUAGACCUGCACAAGAAUGAUAAUAACCACAGACACAGUCAAUACUUGGCUGGCUUGAAUUCCCCUCUGCCAGUGACAUUAGUCCAAACCACUUCAAUUUAGCCUCCAGCAGAUUCUUAGAACAAAGGCAAAAAACAGCCACAUUCUUUGCCAAAAUAUCGUCAGAACAUUCUGGAGGCCAGUUGCUAAUAUUCUUCCCCUCUGAAACCUCUGAGCUGGGCAUCCAUUGUCCACAUUGCUCUUAGCAUUACUGUCUUCCAGGCACCUACUAAGAUGGCCCAUUACGCCCUGCUUACAGCCCUCAACCACUCUCCUAACCCAAAGUCUGCAUUCUUCCAAUAGCAUUUUCGGGUCUGUCACAAGAGCUCUUCAGUCCCUGGCACCAUGACUUCCUGGAAUCAAUUAUUGAGCUUCCAAAGAGCUCCCUCUAACCAUAUAAGUGUAGUUGUUUUUUUUUACUUUUACUUUUGAAUUCUUGAUUGCAGGCAUAUAGGGGCGCAACUGCUUUUGCGUAUUGACCUUGUAUUGUAACCUUGUUGUUCACUUAGAAGUUUCUAUAAUGUUUAGUGAGUUCUUGAGUAUGUUCUUCCUGCUCUGCUUUUUGUUGGCAUGGGUUAAUUGUAUGGUUUCAU